ACGAGUGGCGGACGGGUGAGUAAUGUCUGGGAAACUGCCCGGUGGAGGGGGAUAACUACUGGAAACGGUAGCUAAUACCGCAUAACGUCGCAAGACCAAAGAGGGGGACCUUCGGGCCUCUUGCCACCGGAUGUGCCCAGAUGGGAUUGGCUUGUUGGUGAGGUAACGGCUCACCAAGGCGACGAUCCCUAGCUGGUCUGAGAGGAUGACCAGCCACACUGGAACUGAGACACGGUCCAGACUCCUACGGGAGGCAGCAG
rnacentral:rRNA from 1 species